UUGCGGCUGGAUCACCUCCUUUCUAAGGAUGGUCCUUCAGAGCCAGAAGCAUUCGCUUCUCUCUAUUGGAUUUCUUAGGAACACAUCGGGGCCGAUCAGUUCAGGCUGAUUUGGUCCUUUGGCGGGAUUUCGCCGUCUACGUUUCUCUUUCUUCGCGGACGAACACGCGCCAGGGCUUAGCGCUGUGCGGUGCAUCGGCGCGAGCCGAUUACGCGCGCGCAUGUCCCUGAUCCUUCCAUGGGAAGGAGCGUUAGGGGCUUGUAGCUCAGUUGGUUAGAGCGCGCGCUUGAUAAGCGUGAGGUCGGAAGUUCAAGUCUUCCCAGGCCCACCACUUUGAUCGAGCGCAUGUGUCUCACAGCCGGCAAACAGCAUUCGUCUU
rnacentral:tRNA from 1 species